AGAAUCAACGCUGGCGGCGUGCCUCAGACAUGCAAGUCGAACGAUUAAAGCUCUCUUCGGAGAGUGUAUAGAGUGGCGCACGGGUGAGUAACACGUAAGUAAUCUACCCUCGAGUGGGGAAUAACGUCCGGAAACGGACGCUAAUACCGCAUAAUGCAGCGGCACCGCAAGGUGACAGUUGUUAAAGAUUUUAUCGCUUGAGGAGGAGCUUGCGGCAGAUUAGCUAGUUGGUAAGGUAAUGGCUUACCAAGGCUACGAUCUGUAACCGGUCUAAGAGGACGGUCGGUCACACUGACACUGAAUAACGGGUCAGACUCCUACGGGAGGCAGCAGUCGGGAAUUUUGGGCAGUGGGCGAAAGCCUGACCCAGCAACGCCGCGUGAAGGAUGAAGUAUUUCGGUAUGUAAACUUCGAAAGAAUGGGAAGAAUCAAUGACGGUACCAUUUAUAAGGUCUGGCUAACUAUGUGCCAGCAGCCGCGGUAAUACGUAGGGACCAAGCGUUGUUCGGAUUUACUGGGCGUAAAGGGCGCGUAGGCGGCUUGUCAAGUCACUUGUGAAAUCUCUGGGCUUAACCCAGAACGGCCAAGUGAAACUGACAUGCUAGAGUGCAGAAGGGGCAAUCGGAAUUCUUGGUGUAGCGGUGAAAUGCGUAGAUAUCAAGAGGAACACCUGAGGUGAAGACGGGUUGCUGGGCUGACACUGACGCUGAGGCGCGAAAGCCAGGGGAGCAAACGGGAUUAGAUACCCCGGUAGUCCUGGCCCUAAACGAUGAAUACUUGGUGUCUGGAGUAAUUUGUGCUCCGGGUGCCGUCGCUAACGUUUUUAGUAUCCGC
rnacentral:rRNA from 1 species